UUGUAAUUUGUAGAAGGUGCUUCGGGUGCGGUCACGGUCCAAGUCCCUUGGAACAGGGCGUCGUAGAGGGUGAGAAUCCCGUACGCGGCCGACGAUCAAGCCUGGGUGAAGCCCUUUCGACGAGUCGAGUUGUUUGGGAAUGCAGCUCUAAAUGGGUGGUAAAUUUCAUCUAAAGCUAAAUAUCUGCCAGAGACCGAUAGCGCACAAGUAGAGUGAUCGAAAGAUGAAAAGCACUUUGAAAAGAGAGUCAAACAGUACGUGAAAUUGUUGAAAGGGAAGCGNNNNNNAAACUCGCACGCGUAAUGAAAGUAAACGUAGGUGGGAGCCUUCGGGUGCACCAUCGACCGAUCUUGAUGUUUUCGGAUGGAUUUGAGUAUGAGCCUGAUUGGUCGGACCCGAAAGAUGGUGAACUAUGCGUGAAUAGGGUGAAGCCAGAGGAAACUCUGGUGGAGGCUCGCAGCGGUUCUGACGUGCAAAUCGAUCGUCAAAUUUGCGCAUAGGGGCGAAAGACUAAUCGAACCGUCUAGUAGCUGGUUCCCGUCGAAGUUUCCCUCAGGAUAGCAGCAGCGAAAUUAGUCUCAUGAGGUAGAGCAAACGAUUAGAGGUCUUGGGGUUGAAAUCGACCUUAACCUAUUCUCGAACUUCGAAUAUGUGAGAAGUCCUUGUUACUUAGUUGAA
rnacentral:rRNA from 1 species